rnacentral:rRNA from 1 species
AUUGAACGCUGGCGGCAUGCUUUACACAUGCAAGUCGAACGGUAACAGGCCGUACGGUGCUGACGAGUGGCGAACGGGUGAGUAAUGCAUCGGAACGUACCCAGUCGUGGGGGAUAACGGAUCGAAAGCGGAGCUCAUACCUCAUACGAUCUAAGGAUGAAAGCGGGGGACCGAAAAGCUUAGCGUGGCUUUUGCUGUCGCUUACAGAUGGUGUCGGAUUAGGUAGUUGGUUUGGUAAAGGCAAACCAAGGCAACGAUACGUAGCUGAUCUGAGAGGACGACCAGCCACACUGGGACUGAGACACGGCCCAGACUCCUACGGGAGGCAGCAGUGGGGAAUUUUGGACAAUGGGCGCAAGCCUGAUACAGCAAUGCCGCGUGCGGGAAGAAGGCCUUCGGGUUGUAAACUGCUUUUGUAAGGAAAGAAACGGUGUCGGUUAAUACCCGGAGCUAAUGACGGUACCUAAAGAAUAAGCACCGGCUAACUACGUG